CAGUUUCCAGGGUCUGACGAUGGAGCUGGAAGUCGGCUAUAGGAUCUUCGUAAUAAAACAAAGUAAUUCCAUCAAGUUUGGGCUCGUUUGAUUCGUCUUGAUGAGAACUUUUAUUCAUUGAACUUCAAAGAAAAUGGAAGAGCAUUAAGGACGCUUAUAAAAGAGACAAGGCGAAGAACAAUAACUGUUCCAGUGGAUCUGGAGCUAAACCUAGAAGACCCUACAUAUAUUCCAAUUUGCUAACUUUUUUAGACCCGCUUUACGAAAUAAGAUCUCCAAGUCAAAAUGAUGAUGCAGCACUGGGGAAUAACCAAGACUGUGAUUUUCAAAAACCACAUUCACCAAAGAAGUCUAAAAAGACUCCAAAACAUGAAGACCCACAAGACAAAUUGUAUGAAGCACUGACAGCAAAUCUCAAACAGUCUAAGGAAGCGAAUAAUACAAUUUUAUCUGAAAAUCCCGACAUACUGUUCUUAAUUUCGUUAGCUAAAGAUUUUUCUGCUAUCAAAGAGGAAUUUAAGUUAGAGGCCAAAGCUGAUAUGAUAAAUUUAAUUCGUAAAUAUAAAAAUAUGGGACACUCAUCGAGAAUAUUGAAUGAAAAUAGAUACCAAGGUGCAUUUCAAUAUGAACAUCAGUAUGGAUACCAGUCUGGAUAUCAGUCUGAAUCUGGAUAUCAGUCUGAAUUUCAACCACAAUAUCCAAGUAAUCAAUCAGCGCCAAGAAACGAAUCUGUCAGUUCACUUCAAAAUUUAGAUAGCAAUGAAUCGGUUACAAAUGACUCCGAUAUCAUAUCUGACAUGUAUGAUGAUAUUGAAUAAAUCUUUUUCUCUUAUUCAUAAUCUAAGUGCACUUAUAACAUUUUACGAUUGAUUUAAAAAUGUAACAGAACAAUAAAUAAAUAAAUAAAUACUAGUUGUUUUCUUACCUCA
rnacentral:misc_RNA from 1 species